UCCAUUUGGACCACAGCUGCUGGACCUCAGGCCUGGACCUUGCAUCCUGUCUUCCAGAGCAGCUUUCCUACCCUGCCUCUGUAUUUGGAUGCAGGUCUCACAACUGCUGUACUUCAUCUCAAGAAGUGCCUUUAUAAACUCCUUUUGAUCCAUAUUUUUGCUGGUUUUGCGAACUUAAACACCCUGCUCUUGGUGACUGGAUGUUUAAGAAGACACAGAUGGUGCCUGUGCAUUCAAAUGUCAUAAGAAGAAAAUCAGCUUCACAAGAAAGGAUCACGCAGAGAUACCAGCGAUGAUCUUGGCGAAGGCCUUGGUUCUGGAGUUGAAGCGGCUGUGGUGGAUGGGGUUGCGGAUGGCGAUGUAGCGAUCCAGCGAG